AUUCAAAAAGCGGAGGAAAAGAAACCAACCGGGAUUGCCUUAGUAACGGCGAGUGAAGCGGCAAAAGCUCAAAUUUGAAAUCUGGUACCUUCGGUGCCCGAGUUGUAAUUUGGAGAGGGCAACUUUGGGGCCGUUCCUUGUCUAUGUUCCUUGGAACAGGACGUCAUAGAGGGUGAGAAUCCCGUGUGGCGAGGAGUGCGGUUCUUUGUAAAGUGCCUUCGAAGAGUCGAGUUGUUUGGGAAUGCAGCUCUAAGUGGGUGGUAAAUUCCAUCUAAAGCUAAAUAUUGGCGAGAGACCGAUAGCGAACAAGUACAGUGAUGGAAAGAUGAAAAGAACUUUGAAAAGAGAGUGAAAAAGUACGUGAAAUUGUUGAAAGGGAAGGGCAUUUGAUCAGACAUGGUGUUUUGUGCCCUCUGCUCCUUGUGGGUAGGGGAAUCUCGCAUUUCACUGGGCCAGCAUCAGUUUUGGUGGCAGGAUAAAUCCAUAGGAAUGUAGCUUGCCUCGGUAAGUAUUAUAGCCUGUGGGAAUACUGCCAGCUGGGACUGAGGACUGCGACGUAAGUCAAGGAUGCUGGCAUAAUGGUUAUAUGCCGCCCGUCUUGAAACCCGGAC
rnacentral:rRNA from 1 species